GAUGAAGAACGCAGCGAAAUGCGAUACGUAAUGUGAAUUGCAGAAUUCAGUGAAUCAUCGAAUCUUUGAACGCAUAUUGCGCUCUCUGGUAUUCCGGAGAGCAUGCUUGUUUGAGUAUCAGUAAACACCUCAACUUCCAUAUCUCUUUUGAAAUGGGAGUUGGACUUGAGUGAUCCCAACGCUUUUCCUCACCGAAAAGUGGCGGGUUACUUGAAAUGCAGGUGCAGCUGGACUUUUCUCUGAGCUAUAAGCAUAUCUAUUUAGUCUGCCUAAAAAACAGAUUAUUACCUUUGCUGCAGCUAACAUAAAGGAGAUUAGUUCUUGUGCUGACUGAUGCAGGAUUCACAAAGACAGGCUUCGGCCGACUUUGUAAACUCGAUCUCAAAUCAAGUAAGACUACCCGCUGAACUUAAGCAUGUCAAUAAGCGGAGGA
rnacentral:misc_RNA from 1 species